UACGAAGGGGGCUAGCGUUGUUCGGAAUCACUGGGCGUAAAGCGCACGUAGGCGGAUUGAUAAGUCAGGGGUGAAAUCCCGAGGCUCAACCUCGGAACUGCCUUUGAUACUGUUAGUCUUGAGUUCGGGAGAGGUGAGUGGAACUCCGAGUGUAGAGGUGAAAUUCGUAGAUAUUCGGAAGAACACCAGUGGCGAAGGCGGCUCACUGGCCCGAUACUGACGCUGAGGUGCGAAAGCGUGGGGAGCAAAC
rnacentral:rRNA from 1 species